rnacentral:lncRNA from 1 species
AAGUACGGUAUGAUGAACGUUUUGAAAGAGGAGCUUCUGAGAUCAAUUUGAUGCUCGAUCGAUGAGUCUUAUAGGAGGGACUGUCCAGCUGAUAUCUACUCGGGUAACACAUCCUUGAAAUGUUGCAAGAAUGGAACAAUAGAACUAAGAGGAUAGGCUGACUCGACUCGUUAGUUGAAAAUGAAACAUCUUUGCGCAGUAACAGACCGUACAGGCGGCCGGAGCAAGGUGUCCUAUUGUUCAGGACGCAAAAAAUUAGGGGCCCUAAAUCUAACCUUAAGAUUAAGAGAAAAGUCUAUUUUAAACACUGAUUUGUAGACAAAAUCUAAAUCGGACUUUAACCUUUUAAUCACUAAAUUUCGAACCCUGGCCUUACUGAUCCCGGUUAAUUAAAUCCCUUAAGCCCAGAAACCGUGUUUGGUUGAUCGUUUUCACUAACAGGUUUUGGGAUUGAUGAGUAGUCUUAAAAAUUCUCAUGAUUUGCGUCUAUGUCACUGCUACAUAAUGGAUCAUUAGUAACGAGCGUAAAAUAUAACAUUAGUAGCAGACGUCUCACCCGCCGCAACCUCCAUGCUAGUGACGAAGUGCAAAUCAGUGGCGAGAAGGCCACCCGUUACUGAUGGGGUGCGGUCACGCCACACACAUGGGGAUUAGAAGAAAAUAAAAAAUAAAUCACAAAAAUAAAUUGCUCGCUUGUCAAGCUCCGCCGCUGCCGCUCCGGGCCCCACGCGCGACGUUGCUCCUACAUGCGCCGCCAGUUCACCAAACGGAUUUUCUAGAAAUAAAUGCAUUAAGUAAUUAGGAUUCGUAAGGUUAGGGUUCGAGGUUAGGGUUCAAUUCAGACUUUGCCUAAAAGAUCAGAGUUUAACGUAGAAAUCCCGACCGGGAUCAUCCUUUUCCUAGCGUGGCAAACAGUUUUAAGGUAAUAAUUGACCGGAUUAAAAAGGUCAGGAUCCCGAUUUUAGGGAUUAAGAAGUCAGGGUUCAUUUCGGUCGUCGUCUACAAGUACAGGGUUGAAAGCGGACUUUUCUUGAAGAUUAAUUAUCUAUGCUUAACUAACAUCAGGUUUUCAGGUCCAUUAAAUAAAAAAAAAGCCCGUAAAAACAAGGGCAGAGGAUUAAAGGCCUGCCUAGCUAGCUGCUUUUCAGCAUUUCAUCGUACCAUCGUGUUCGGCCGGAACUAUUAGCGAUAUGUCAUGAUAUAUUCCCUACCAUUUCAACACAAAUACUGAAAGAUGAUGCUUUUCAGUGGAACAUGAAAAAUUGCAGCUUCAACACAACCUUUAUUAUACAAUGUUUACCAGUCCUUUUUCGGAGUCAAAGAAGCAUCCAGAGUUACCCGAGAGAAAAAAAGGCUCCCGCCCUAGCCGCCACCUACUGCCCGCUCCAGAUCGUUCUCGUCUCCCGGCCAGCCGGGAACGACGCCUGACGUGGUUAUGACUAAUCACAUAUUCGACUCGAGUAUACCCGGUAUAGCCCAGCUGAGGCCCACAAGGAAGUCUACUUCGACUACAAGAGUCUACA